UACGAAGGGGGCUAGCGUUGUUCGGAAUCACUGGGCGUAAAGCGCACGUAGGCGGAUCUUUAAGUCAGAGGUGAAAUCCCAAGGCUCAACCUUGGAACUGCCUUUGAUACUGGGAUCGUUGAGUUCGGGAGAGGUGAGUGGAACUGCGAGUGUAGAGGUGAAAUUCGUAGAUAUUCGCAAGAACACCAGUGGCGAAGGCGGCUCACUGGCCCGAUACUGACGCUGAGGCACGAAAGCGUGGGAGCAAAC
rnacentral:rRNA from 1 species